AGGACUAACGCUGGCGGCGUGCCUAACACAUGCAAGUCGAACGAGGUAGCAAUACCUAGUGGCAGACGGGUGAGUAACGCGUGGUCAACCUACCUCUUAGUGGGGGAUAACUAGCCGAAAGGUUAGCUAAUACCGCAUACGAUCGUCGCGAGGCAUCUCGUGACGAUGAAAGGAGCAAUUCGCUAAGAGAGGGGACUGCGUCCCAUUAGUUAGUUGGUGGGGUAAUGGCCUACCAAGACUCCGAUGGGUAGCUGGCUUGAGAGAGCGACCAGCCACACUGGAACUGAGACACGGUCCAGACUCCUACGGGAGGCAGCAGUGAGGAAUUUUCCGCAAUGGGCGCAAGCCUGACGGAGCGACGCCGCGUGUGGGAGAAGGCCUUCGGGUCGUAAACCACUGUCGAAGGGGACGAUAUUGACGGUACCCUUGGAGGAAGCCCCGGCUAACUACGCGCCAGCAGCCGC
rnacentral:rRNA from 1 species